CCUACGGGUGGCAGCAGUGAGGAAUAUUGGUCAAUGGGCGCGAGCCUGAACCAGCCAAGUAGCGUGAAGGAUGACUGCCCUACGGGUUGUAAACUUCUUUUAUAAAGGAAUAAAGUGAGGCACGUGUGCCUUUUUGUAUGUACUUUAUGAAUAAGGAUCGGCUAACUCCGUGCCAGCAGCCGCGGUAAUACGGAGGAUCCGAGCGUUAUCCGGAUUUAUUGGGUUUAAAGGGAGCGUAGAUGGGUUGUUAAGUCAGUUGUGAAAGUUUGCGGCUCAACCGUAAAAUUGCAAUUGAUACUGGCAGCCUUGAGUACAGUUGAGGUAGGCGGAAUUCGUGGUGUAGCGGUGAAAUGCUUAGAUAUUGCGCAGAACUCCGAUUGCGAAGGCAGCAUACCGGCGGCGAUCUGACGCUGAGGCACGAAAGCGUGGGUAUCAAACAGGAUUAGAUACCCUGGUAGUC
rnacentral:rRNA from 1 species